AUACAAAGAAAUUCUCUGCCCAAGGACCAUUUAUAUACUGUUUGUAGAAGGGUGGGGCAGCUCCCCCUGCCCCGUGGCACACACUGGCCACAGAUGAAAGUGCCUGGUGGUGCUGGGCUCUCACCCGCAGUGGAACAAUGCCUCAUCUGUGCUUGCUUUCUAUCACUGCUGUCAAUACCACAUGGGGUAAGGAACCAAAACCAGAACCCAACCUCAAACUGAAAGCACCCAGCCAGAGUUAGGGCACUGCAACACAGUCCCUCCCUGUUCCCAAGGGCUGACAAAAGGAGAACACAGCCCUGCUCAUGUGUUUUGGGGGCCUAUCUCCUGAGGAGUUCUAAGCACUCUCCGGCCUUGAUCAACUUGAUCAGGAUCACACACAUCUGGGGAAGAAGAGGGAAGGCACUUGUGUCACCUUCAUUGGAGGGAGGAGAACCAGCCAUUGUUGUCACCAGCACAACCCAAGUCUCUGAUUCUGGGGGUCUGCAAUCUUGAGGUGAACUAUCCAAGGAGAGAGCUACUAUUCCAGCCGAGGUGCCCAGAUGAGACAGCAGGGGAAUUCCUGCUACCUGGAUGCUAGAGUUCCUGGGCUUUCAUCCCGGUUCCAAGCCUGGGUUUCUAGCCACUUGUCCAGUCUGUGAGCUAUCUGGAUCUCCCCUAAUAAAUUCAUGCUUUCUUAUCA